AUUGGCAGCACGACGGAUUCUGGUUCCGUUAGUCUUGGUUCGAGUCCAGGUAGACCAGCUGAUCUGCGGAAAC
rnacentral:tRNA from 1 species